UACGUAGGGGGCAAGCGUUGUCCGGAUUUAUUGGGCGUAAAGAGCGUGUAGGCGGCCAGACAGGUCCGUUGUGAAAACUCGAGGCUCAACCUCGAGACGCCGAUGGAAACCGUCUGGCUAGAGUCCGGAAGAGGAGAGUGGAAUUCCUGGUGUAGCGGUGAAAUGCGCAGAUAUCGGGAGGAACACUGGUGGCGAAGGCGGUUCUCUGGGCCUUACCGUGACGCUGAGGAGCGAAAGCGGUGGGGAGCGAACAGG
rnacentral:rRNA from 1 species